AGCAACUGGAAAUGUAGAAGCCAAAGGUUCAGCUCUACAGACAACUGCAAGCAGCAUUAACGCUCAGGAUCCAAUGAAGCAAAACCAACACAGCAUGAUUCAAACGAAUGGAAUAUGUUGCCAAGAGAACUCACUUGCCGAACACUGGUUUGCCAACUCACUUCGGUCUCUCUUCCUCCCAGUACCUCCACUCUCAACCCUGCUUCUUUGGUGAGACAGAAGUAGAUGGUGAGAAGAACAUUCUAGUCUUUAAUCUCUCUCUUCUUCAACUUUCAGCUACAGCGAUGAACAGUGGAGCUAAGCGACAAACUCCCCCAUUACCCGUGGAAGAAGCUCUCAUGCUACACUUCCAGCUUUCCUUGCAAGAAAAGAAUAUGCAGAUGCUUACACAUUAGGACUCUGCAAUGUAAAAAGAUCAGUUUUCUCUAUACAAUAAACUGUUAAAGCAUUACGUA